AGGAGCUGGAUGAGAAGAAACUCUCAUGUCCAGUUCUGUAAUAGAGAUGGAAUUGAAAAACAACCAUCAACUAUAAC
rfam:Cephalotus follicularis DNA, scaffold: scaffold5636, isolate: St1.